GCCGCCGUGGUGGAACUGGUAGACACGUAGGUCUCAAAAACCUAUGGAGGCAACUCCAUGACGGUUCGACUCCGUCCGGCGGCACCA
rnacentral:tRNA from 1 species